UUAGGCUCAGUAACACGUCGAUAAUCUGCCCUAUGGUUGAGGAUAAUCACGGGAAACUGUGUGUAAUACUCAAUAGGAGAAAUGCUCUGGAGAAUAGCUUUCUUUUAAACUCGAGCCGUAGGAUGAGUCGGCGGCCGAUUAGGCUGUGGGCGGUGUAAAGGACCACCAAACCUAUGAUCGGUAGGGGCCUUGAAAGAGGUUGCCCCGAGAAGGACACUGAGAUACUGGUCCUAGCCCUACGGGGUGCAGCAGGCGCGAAAACUUUACAAUGCGCGAAAGCGUGAUAAGGGGACCCUGAGUGCUCAUACACAGUAUGGGCUUUUUUCAAGAGUAAAAAUCUUGAAGAAUAAGUGGUGGGCAAGACUGGUGCCAGCCGCCGCGGUAACACCAGCGCCACAAGUGGCAAUCGCGUAUUUGGCCUUAAGCGUCCGUAGCUGGUUCUGUAAAUCUUUUGUGAAAUUGUUAAUGUUAACUUAACAGCGUGCGAAAGACACUGCAGGACUUGAGACCGGGAGGAGUCAGAGGUAUUCUUGGGGGAGCGGUAAAAUGUUAUAAUCCCAAGAAGACCACCAGUGGCGAAGGCGUCUGACUAGAACGGAUCUGACAGUGAGGGACGAAAGCUAGGGGAGCGAUCCGGAUUAGAUAUCGAUACUUCCGUAUCAGAAUUUGUUUCGUUUGAUCGAAAUAAAAUCUACUAAACGAAGCAAAAUUAUCGGAAGUUAAAUCGACUAAUUACCCGAGUAGUCCUAGCUGUAAACACUGUGAGCUGGGUGUUGCACAAACUACGGGUUUGUGCAGUGUCGAAACGAAG
rnacentral:rRNA from 1 species